GAAUAGCUCAGUCGGAAGAGCAUGAGACUCUUCAUCUCAGGUCAGGGUUGUGGAUUCGAGCCCCACAUUGAGCA